rnacentral:rRNA from 1 species
AUUGAACGAUGGCGGCAGGCCUAACACAUGCAAGUCGAGCGAGCGGCGGACGGGUGAGUAAUGUAUGGGGACUGCCCGCUAGAGGGGGAUAACUACUGGAAACGGUGGCUAAUACCGCAUAAUGUCGGAUAACCCAUAUGGGAUUAGCUAGUAGGUAAGGUAAUGGCUUACCUAGGCGACGAUCCCUAGCUGGUCUGAGAGGAUGAUCAGGCACCCUGGGACUGAGACACGGCCCAGACUCCUACGGAGGCAGCAGUGGGGAAUAUUGCACAAUGGGCGCAAGCCUGAUGCAGCCAUGCCGCGUGUAUGAAGAAGGCCCUAGGGUUGUAAAGUACUUUCAGUCGGGAGGCGUUACCGACAGAAGAAGCACCGGCUAACUCCGUGCCAGCAGCCGCGGUAAUUC